UACGUAGGGGGCUAGCGUUAUCCGGAAUUACUGGGCGUAAAGGGUGCGUAGGUGGCUUCUUAAGUCAGAGGUGAAAGGCUACGGCUCAACCGUAGUAAGCCUUUGAAACUGGGGAACUUGAGUGCAGAAGAGGAGAGCGGAAUUCCUAGUGUAGCGGUGAAAUGCGUAGAUAUUAGGAGGAACACCAGUUGCGAAGGCGGCUCUCUGGACUGUAACUGACACUGAGGCACGAAAGCGUGGGGAGCAAACAGG
rnacentral:rRNA from 1 species